GAUGAACGCUGGCGGCGUGCCUAAUACAUGCAAGUCGAGCGAACAGACGAGGAGCUUGCUCCUCUGACGUUAGCGGCGGACGGGUGAGUAACACGUGGAUAACCUACCUAUAAGACUGGGAUAACUUCGGGAAACCGGAGCUAAUACCGGAUAAUAUAUUGAACCGCAUGGUUCAAUAGUGAAAGACGGUUUUGCUGUCACUUCUAGAUGGAUCCGCGCCGCAUUAGCUAGUUGGUAAGGUAACGGCUUACCAAGGCAACGAUGCGUAGCCGACCUGAUAGGGUGAUCGGCCACACUGGAACUGAGACACGGUCCAGACUCCUACGGGAGGCAGCAGUAGGGAAUCUUCCGCAAUGGGCGAAAGCCUGACGGAGCAACGCCGCGUGAGUGAUGAAGGUCUUCGGAUCGUAAAACUCUGUUAUUAGGGAAGAACAAAUGUGUAAGUAACUAUGCACGUCUUGACGGUACCUAAUCAGAAAGCCACGGCUAACUACGUG
rnacentral:rRNA from 1 species